rnacentral:lncRNA from 1 species
GCACAGCCUCUAGCACGGCCCCUGUCGCAGUCUCUGUUGUCUGCUCUGCCUGUUCUCUGGGCCCUGUGGGUGGCCUGUGAGCCACAGCUCUGUCACACACCAGAAGUGGCUCAGUGACAGCAAGUUACCCUGCCUUGAAGGGAGAUGUGCACACACACGGAGCAAUGCUGUCUAGAAAUGCAGCUGUCUUUCCACCUCCUCCGAGAAGCCCACCAUGAUCGCCCUCAAGAGAGCCACUGUUCUGAGCUUCUGAACCCUUCAUUCUGACCUUCCAUUCUAAAGCCUUGGGGUAGCCUUCAGCUGCUUCUACCAGCCCAGGAGCUGCCCAAGGCAGGGCACCCGCUGCCUUCUCAGCCACCACCACAGAUUGGAACCCCCAGCAGGAAGUCUACCUGUUCCCGACCCCUGUCCAGCCCUGCACAGCACAUCUAGUGGAGAGCAGAGCAGAAGGUGUGCUGGGUGGACCUUGUCUAAACUCAACCAAAAGAUGAAGUUGUCCCUGGGCAUGGAUCCCCAGCUCUCGAAGCCCUUCUCAGGGGUCCUGAGCACAGCUGCCUGUGGGGCUUGUGGUCUGGCUUGGGGCUUGGAGACCCAGCCAGCUUACCAGGGAG